rnacentral:rRNA from 1 species
GACGUAGGGCGCGAGCGUUGUCCGGAUUUAUUGGGCGUAAAGAGCUCGUAGGCGGUCUGUCGCGUCUGCUGUGAAAACUCGGGGCUUAACCCCGGGCCUGCAGUGGGUACGGGCAGACUAGAGUGCGGUAGGGGAGACUGGAAUUCCUGGUGUAGCGGUGAAAUGCGCAGAUAUCAGGAGGAACACCGGUGGCGAAGGCGGGUCUCUAGGCCGUAACUGACGCUGAGGAGCGAAAGCGUGGGGAGCGAACAGG